rnacentral:rRNA from 1 species
UAGGGAAUCUUCGGCAAUGGACGGAAGUCUGACCGAGCAACGCCGCGUGAGUGAAGAAGGUUUUCGGAUCGUAAAGCUCUGUUGUAAGAGAAGAACGAGUGUGAGAGUGGAAAGUUCACACUGUGACGGUAUCUUACCAGAAAGGGACGGCUAACUACGUGCCAGCAGCCGCGGUAAUACGUAGGUCCCGAGCGUUGUCCGGAUUUAUUGGGCGUAAAGCGAGCGCAGGCGGUUAGAUAAGUCUGAAGUUAAAGGCUGUGGCUUAACCAUAGUACGCUUUGGAAACUGUUUAACUUGAGUGCAAGAGGGGAGAGUGGAAUUCCAUGUGUAGCGGUGAAAUGCGUAGAUAUAUGGAGGAACACCGGUGGCGAAAGCGGCUCUCUGGUCUGUAACUGACGCUGAGGCUCGAAAGCGUGGGGAGCGAACAGGAUUAGAUACCCUGGUAGUCCACGCCGUAAACGAUGAGUGCUAGGUGUUAGGCCCUUUCCGGGGCUUAGUGCCGCAGCUAACGCAUUAAGCACUCCGCCUGGGGAGUACGACCGCAAGGUCG